AUUGAACGCUGGCGGAAUGCUUUACACAUGCAAGUCGAGCGGCAGCACGGGGGCAACCCUGGUGGCGAGCGGCGAACGGGUGAGUAAUACAUCGGAACAUGCCCAGUCGUGGGGGAUAACACUUCGAAAGAAGUGCUAAUACCGCAUACGUCCUGAGGGAGAAAGCGGGGGAUCGCAAGACCUCGCGCGAUUGGAGUGGCCGAUGUCAGAUUAGCUAGUUGGUGGGGGUAAAGGCCUACCAAGGCAACGAUCUGUAGCUGGUCUGAGAGGAUGAUCAGCCACACUGGGACUGAGACACGGCCCAGACUCCUACGGGAGGCAGCAGUGGGGAAUUUUGGACAAUGGGGGCAACCCUGAUCCAGCCAUUCCGCGUGAGUGAAGAAGGCC
rnacentral:rRNA from 1 species